GACGAACGCUGGCGGCGUGCUUAACACAUGCAAGUCGAACGGAAAGGCCCUGCUUUUGUGGCGUGCUCGAGUGGCGAACGGGUGAGUAACACGUGAGUAACCUGCCCUUGACUUUGGGAUAACUUCAGGAAACUGGGGCUAAUACCGGAUAGGAGCUCCUGCUGCAUGGUGGGGGUUGGAAAGUUUCGGCGGUUGGGGAUGGACUCGCGGCUUAUCAGCUUGUUGGUGGGGUAGUGGCUUACCAAGGCUUUGACGGGUAGCCGGCCUGAGAGGGUGACCGGCCACCAUGGGACUGAGAUACGGCCCAGACUCCUACGGGAGGCAGCAGUGGGGAAUAUUGCACAAUGGGCGGAAGCCUGAUGCAGCAACGCCGCGUGCGGGAUGAAGGCCUUCGGGUUGUAAACCGCUUUCGCCUGUGACGAAGCGUGAGUGACGGUAAUGGGUAAAGAAGCACCGGCUAACUACGUG
rnacentral:rRNA from 1 species